rnacentral:rRNA from 1 species
GAUGAACGCUGGCGGCGUGCCUAAUACAUGCCAGUCGAGCGAACAGACGAGGAGCUUGCUCCUCUGACGUUAGCGGCGGACGGGUGAGUAACACGUGGAUAACCUACCUAUAAGACUGGGAUAACUUCGGGAACCCGGAGCUAAUACCGGAUAAUAUAUUGAACCGCAUGGUUCAAUAGUGAAAGACGGUUUUGCUUUCACUUAUAGAUGAUUCCGCGCCGCAUUAGCUAGUUGGUAAGGUAACGGCUUACCAAGGCAACGAUGCGUAGCCGACCUGAGAGGGUGAUCGGCCACACUGGAACUGAGACACGGUCCAGACUCCUACGGGAGGCAGCAGUAGGGAAUCUUCCGCAAUGGGCGAAAGCCUGACGGAGCAACGCCGCGUGAGUGAUGAAGGUCUUCGGAUCGUAAAACUCUGUUAUUAGGGAAGAACAAAUGUGUAAGUAACUAUGCACGUCUUGACGGUACCUAAUCAGAAAGCCACGGCUAACUACGUG